rnacentral:lncRNA from 1 species
UGGGGAGGCAGAGACACAGGCAGAGGGAGAAGCAGGCUCCAUGUAGGGAGCCCAAUGUGGGAUUUGAUCCUGGCACCCCGGGAUCAUGACCUAAGCAGAAGGCAGACGCUCAACCACUGAGCCACCCAGCCAUCCCAUCUUGACUCAUCUUCUGACUUCAGAUGAGGAUCCUGUUAUUUCAAGAUGCAGGUGACUUCAAGACGGAAGAUGGAGACAAUAAGAAGUCCAGACAUUAUUGGAUGGCAGAGUUGGUUCAAUGACUCAAUGAUGUCAGGUCUGACACUUCUGCAAUUCUCUUAGCCUUAUCGUCACAGUCAGAAGAUGACUGCCAUCAAUCCAGCCAUCAUAUCUACCUUCAAGGUAGGAAGAAAAGGAAAGUAGUGCCUUUAGCUUGUAAUUUAAAGAAUAGGUGUAAAACUAUUCUCAGAAGGACC